GGAGGGUCUAUGGAGCUUGUUUUCAGGAUGGAGUAGGUAUAUGUAAAAAAAAGCAAAAAUAGGAAAUCCAUAUUACAAUUGUAUAAACAUACAAACAAUUAGUAUUGAUGGAGGAAAAUAUCCUACUUACAUCACCCAGAGCAAUGUCCUGCUCUGGUAUGAAGAACUUGAGGUGGAACAAUCCCCGCAUAAGGAUAUAUGCUGGAACCGGAAGGAUGAUGAGGGUUGUAUGAAGGAUGUACUCCACAGGUGAUGAUGUAUAAAACAGUAGGUUUAUUAAAUAAAAAAGCUGGAAACAACAGCUCUAUAAGUAAAAACAAAUAUCAAACAAACUGUGGAUAAAACAAGUCCUCGCUUUUCACCAUUUCACUAAAGGCUUUCUCAAAAGUGGGUGGUAUUCUGCUGUAGGACAGCUUUAUAUGUGUUCUCUGGUGUUUGUUAGUGGAUUAAGGUGUUCAUACAGCAAUUUCCGGUUUCUGGAAGGAUGAUGAUGUCAUUACCUUCACAAACAUCUACUGUUCUGCACCAUAAUCUGUUUCUUGCUUUGUACUUAUAGAUUCCUAUACUAAGAACAUCAUCUGUAUCGGAUAUAUAUCAUCUUAAAGGACCACUAUAGUGCCAGGAAAACAUACUAGUUUUCCUGGCACUAUAGUGCCCUGAGGGUGCCUCCACCCUGGGCUGGAUGGCGAGGAAAGGGUUAAAUCUUACCUUUUUUUCCCAGCGCCGGGCGGGGAGCUCUCCUCCUCCUCUCCGCCUCCUCUUCGGCUGAAUGUGCAUGCGCGGCAGGAGCUGCGCACGCAUUCAGCCAGUCUCAUAGGAAAGCAUUCAUAAUGCUUUCCUAUGGACACUUGCGUCUUCUCACUGUGAUUUUCACAGUGAGAAGCACGCAAACACCUCUAGCGGCUGUCAGUGAGACAGCCACU